UACGGAAGGCAGCAGUGGGGAAUAUUGCACAAUGGGCGCAAGCCUGAUGCAGCCAUGCCGCGUGUAUGAAAAAGGCCUUCGGGUUGUAAAGUACUUUCAGUCGUGAGGAAGGUGUUAAGGUUAAUAACCUUAGCAAUUGACGUUAGCGACAGAAGAAGCACCGGCUAACUCCGUGCCAGCAGCCGCGGUAAUACGGAGGGUGCGAGCGUUAAUCGGAAUUACUGGGCGUAAAGGGCACGCAGGCGGUUAAUUAAGUUGGAUGUGAAAUCCCCGGGCUUAACCUGGGAAUGGCAUUCAAGACUGGUUAGCUAGAGUCUUGUAGAGGGGGUAGGAAUUCCAUGUGUAGCGGUGAAAUGCGUAGAGAUGUGGAGGAUACCGGUGGCGAAGGCGGCCCCUGGACAAAGACUGACGCUCAUGUGCGAAAGCGUGGGGAGCAAACAGGGAUUAGAGUA
rnacentral:rRNA from 1 species